CUCUGGUAUUGUUUCGCUGAAGUCAGAGGAGUGUCGGUGGCGUUACCCUGGCUUCUCAGGUGUGCUGAGACCUUCGUAGGACUCGUGUGGCUUUGUCCUGUUCCGGAUGAGGGCUGAAAGGCUGUGCCUUUCCCGGUCCUUUGUCUAGAGAGAGCAGGCUUUUGGGAGCAUUUUUUGUCUGAGCCUGCUGACAUUUCUAGGUUGCCUGCAUCUGUAGCACCCAGUCUGAGGAAUAUGAAGCAAAAGGAAAACCCAGGGAACUCAUUGCCACGUCUUUUGAGGUUCCUGGGAGCUUAUUGAGUGCCAUGACAUUAGGGAAGAGGAAUCUAGUCUCUGACAGCCAUCCAUUCAAGCUAAUCUCUGCUGUGAAGUCCCUCGUCCCCUCAGUUUCACAGGAGCAGCUCUGCCUUGCUCCUUCCAAACACCCCAUAGACCUGAGACUAUCCAUUCUGCUGCUCCUGCACCUUGCUGAGCUAUGGAAAAUUCUUUGAAAACCCUUCUAACAACCAAUGUGUGCUAUGAUAAAUAAAAGUAUAUAUAUUUGGCCUUUGUUUCUGGUUCCUGGCACAGUGCUCCUAAAACUCUAGAAAUCUCCUGAUAGUAUUUAGUGUCUUUUGUCAUUCAUAACAAGCCCCUUUCCACCAUACCUGAAUUUAUUCUAAUGAGAUGAUUCUUGGCCUUUAGAUAGCUCCAGGAUGGGGGCUGUUUACCAGAGGAAUCAACUACAUGAUUAGAAGGUUGGAAAUUUCUGCUGCAGCCCCAACCCUGGUGGGAGGAGAGGGGCUAGAGAUUUGAGUUCAAUCACCAAUGCCCAGUGAUUUAAUCAGUCAUGCCUCAUCAUUAAACUUCAGUAAAAUCUCUAGAACAACAAGGUUUGGCGAUCUUGCAGGUCGGUAAGCACAUCGUUGUGCUGGGAGGGUGGCAAGCCUGGAGAGGACAUAGAAGCUCUGUGUACCCCUCCCCACUCC